rnacentral:rRNA from 1 species
UCAUGCCAAUGGCACUGCCCGGUAGCUAAAUGCGGAAGAGAUAAGUGCUGAAAGCAUCUAAGCACGAAACUUGCCCCGAGAUGAGUUCUCCCUGAGACUUUAAGUCUCCUGAAGGAACGUUAAAGACGAUGACGUUGAUAGGCCGGGUGUGUAAGCGCAGCGAUGCGUUGAGCUAACCGGUACUAAUGAACCGUGAGGCUUAACCUUACAACGCCGAAG